GACGAACGCUGGCGGCGUGCUUAAUACAUGCAAGUCGAACGGAAAGGCCCUGCUUUUGUGGGGUGCUCGAGUGGCGAACGGGUGUGUAACACGUGAGUAACCUGUCCUUGAAUUUGGGAUAACAUCUGGCAAAUCGGGCUAAUACCGGAUAGGAGAUCCUGCAGCAUGUUGGGGGUUGGAAAGAUACGGCGGUUGGGGAUGGACUCGCGGCAUAUCGGCUGGUUGGUGGGGUAGUGGCUGACCAAGGCUUUGAAGGAUAGCCGGCCUGGGAGGGUGACCGGCAACGUUACGACUGAGGUAGGGCCCAGACUGCAACGUGCGGCAACAGUGGGGAUUAUUGCACAGUGAGCGGACGCCAGAUGCAGCGGCGCCGCGAGCGUGAAGACUGCUUUCGGGUUGUAAACCGAUUUCUCAUGAGACGAGGAGAUAGUGACGGUAAUGAGUAAAGAAGCACCGGCUAACUACGUG
rnacentral:rRNA from 1 species